rnacentral:rRNA from 1 species
GAUCAGGCUCAGGACGAACGCUGGCGGCGUGCCUAACACAUGCAAGUCGAGCGGGGACUUGUGGAACGCGGCUUCGGUCAAGUGAAACAAGUUCUAGCGGCGGACGGGUGAGUAACGCGUGAGCAACCUGCCUAUCACUGGGGAAUAACGCAUCGAAAGGUGUGCUAAUACCGCAUGAGACCACAAGAUCGCAUGGUCAAGGGGUCAAAGAUUUAUCGGUGAUAGAUGGGCUCGCGUCUGAUUAGCUAGUUGGUGAGGUAACGGCCCACCAAGGCGACGAUCAGUAGCCGACCUGAGAGGGUGAUCGGCCACAUUGGAACUGAGAUACGGUCCAGACUCCUACGGGAGGCAGCAGUGGGGAAUAUUGGGCAAUGGGCGAAAGCCUGACCCAGCGACGCCGCGUGAGGGAAGAAGGUCUUCGGAUUGUAAACCUCUGUUGAUAGGGAAGAAGAAAGUGACGGUACCUAUCGAGGAAGUCACGGCUAACUACGUG